AGAACGAUGGAGACAUUGAAGACAAUUAAAGGUGGAUCAACAGCCUUAUCAAACAGCAGGAACUGAAGGUGGCCGCCGAGAUACUUUGUCGUUAUCUAUCUGCACCAAAGAGUUGGAACCCACCAAUGAAUCAAGAAGAAGGGGAAGAAGAUAAGCAUUUAUAGACAGGAGUAGGAGGGCAAGCAACUUGGGUUGGAUUCUACCCUUGGUCACAAUGCGGAGCGGGAUUUUGGUUAAGCUUGAAUUGAUGACGGACUGACCAUGACGGACGGGUGCCCAAGCUGCUGAUGAAUGAAAAAAAUGUAAAUUUCCCACCUCUAAGUCAAUGCAUCACUUUCAUCUCAGGCUUUUUAAAGUACAUUUUAU